GAUGAACGCUGGCGGCGUGCUUAACACAUGCAAGUCGAACGAAGCACCUUGAUUCGAUUCUUCGGAUGAAGAUCUUGGUGACUGAGUGGCGGACGGGUGAGUAACGCGUGGGUAACCUGCCUCAUACAGGGGGAUAACAGUUAGAAAUGACUGCUAAUACCGCAUAAGACCACAGCACCGCAUGGUGCAGGGGUAAAAACUCCGGUGGUAUGAGAUGGACCCGCGUCUGAUUAGGUAGUUGGUGGGGUAACGGCCUACCAAGCCGACGAUCAGUAGCCGACCUGAGAGGGUGACCGGCCACAUUGGGACUGAGACACGGCCCAAACUCCUAUGGGAGGCAGCAGUGGGGAAUAUUGCACAAUGGGGGAAACCCUGAUGCAGCGACGCCGCGUGAGCGAUGAAGUAUUUCGGUAUGUAAAGCUCUAUCAGCAGGGAAGAAAAUGACGGUACCUGACUAAGAAGCACCGGCUAAAUACGUG
rnacentral:rRNA from 1 species